AUUGAACGCUGGCGGCAGGCCUAACACAUGCAAGUCGAGCGAGCGGCGGACGGGUGCGUAAUGUAUGGGGACUGCCCGAUAGAGGGGGAUAACUACUGGAAACGGUAGCUAAUACCGCAUACUAUCGGAUAACCCAUAUCGGAUUAGCUAGUUGGUGGGGAAAAGGCUCACCAAGGCAACGCUAAGUAGCUGGUUUGAGAGGACGACCCGCCAAACUGGGACUGAGACACGGCCCAGACUCCUACGGAGGCAGCAGUGGGGAAUUUUGGACAAUGGGUGAAACCCUGAUCCAGCCAUCCCGCGUGUAUGAUGAAGGCCUUCGGGUUGUAAAGUACUUUUGGCAGAGAAGCGGUAUCUGCAGAAUAAGCACCGGCUAACUACGUGCCAGCAGCCGCGGUAAUAC
rnacentral:rRNA from 1 species